rnacentral:rRNA from 1 species
GAUGAACGCUGGCGGCGUGCCUAAUACAUGCAAGUCGAACGGGAGACCUCAUUUCGAUGGGGUUGAGAGUGGCGCACGGGUGAGGAACACAUGGCUGACCUGCCCUUCAGAGGGGGAUAACGGCUGGAAACGGCUGCUAAUACCCCAUACGCUCCUUGGGAUUAGAGGCCUGAGGAGGAAAGCCUUCGGGUGCUGAAGGAGGGGGCUGUGGCCCAUCAGCUUGUUGGUAGGGUAACGGCCUACCAAGGCGACGACGGGUAGGGGGCCUGAGAGGGUGACCCCCCACACUGGGACUGAGACACGGCCCAGACUCCUACGGGAGGCAGCAGUAAGGGAUCUUGCGACAAUGGGCGAAAGCCUGACGCAGCAACGCCGCGUGCGGGAGGACGGCCUUCGGGUUGUAAACCGCUUUUCGGGGGGAAGAGGAAGGACGGUACCCCCGGAAGAAGUCUCGGCUAACUACGUG